GCCCUUGGAAGUAAAAGUCGUAACAAGGUCUCCGUUGGUGAACCAGCGGAGGGAUCAUUA
rnacentral:rRNA from 1 species